rnacentral:pre_miRNA from 1 species
AUACUACUCCCUCCGUCCGGAAAUACUUGUCAUCAAAAUGGAUGAAAAUGGAUGUAUCUAGAACUAAAAUACAUCUAGAUACAUCCAUUUCAAUGACAAGUAUUUCCGGACGGAGGGAGUACUUU